GUUGGUGUAGCUCAGUGGUAGAGUGCAUGCUUUGUAUGUAUGAUGUCCUGGGUUCAAUCCCCAGCUUCUCA
rnacentral:tRNA from 1 species